rnacentral:rRNA from 1 species
UACAGAGGUCUCAAGCGUUUGUUCGGAAUUACUGGGCGUAAAGGGUGCGCAGGCCGCGCGGGCAGUCAAAUGUGUAAUCCAGGGGCUCAACCCCUGAACUGCGCUUGAUACUUCCGCGCUCGAGCUUUGGAGAGGAGUCUGGAAUUCUCGGUGUAGCAGUGAAAUGCGUGGAUAUCGAGAAGAACACUUAGGGCGUAGGCAAGACUCUGGACAAAAUGCUGACGCUCAUGCACGAAGGCUAGGGUAGCGAACGGG